AAUUCGCCCUUAGAGUUUGAUCCUGGCUCAGAACGAACGCUGGCGGCGUGCUUAACACAUGCAAGUCGAACGAGAAAGCUUUCUUCGGAGAGCGAGUAAAGUGGCGCACGGGUGAGUAACGCGUAGAUAAUCUAUCCUUGUGUCCGGGAUAACCCUUCGAAAGGGGGACUAAUACCGGAUAUAUUCUUACCUGCCGGGGUAUGAAGGAAAGGUGGCCUCUAUUUAUAAGCUAUCGCACAGGGAGGAGUCUGCGUACCAUUAGCUUGUUGGUGGGGUAACGGCCUACCAAGGCGACGAUGGUUAGCGGGUCUGAGAGGAUGAUCCGUCACACUGGCACUGAAACACGGGCCAGACUCCUACGGGAGGCAGCAGUGAGGAAUAUUGCGCAAUGGGGGGAACCCUGACGCAGCGACGCCGCGUGAGUGAGGAAGGCCUUCGGGUCGUAAAGCUCUGUCAGAAGGGAAGAAAUGCAUACAGGUUAAUACCCUGUGUGUUGACGGAC
rnacentral:rRNA from 1 species